AGUGAACGCUGGCGGUAGGCCUAACACAUGCAAGUCGAACGACAGCACAGUAAGAGCUUGCUCUUACGGGUGGCGAGUGGCGGACGGGUGAGGAAUACAUCGGAAUCUACUUUUUCGUGGGGGAUAACGUAGGGAAACUUACGCUAAUACCGCAUACGACCUACGGGUGAAAGCAGGGGAUCUUCGGACCUUGCGCGAUUGAAUGAGCCGAUGUCGGAUUAGCUAGUUGGCGGGGUAAAGGCCCACCAAGGCGACGAUCCGUAACUGGUCUGAGAGGAUGAUCAGCCACACUGGAACUGAGACACGGUCCAGACUCCUACGGGAGGCAGCAGUGGGGAAUAUUGGACAAUGGGCGCAAGCCUGAUCCAGCCAUACCGCGUGGGUGAAGAAGGCCUUCGGGUUGUAAAGCCCUUUUGUUGGGAAAGAAAAGCAGCAGGUUAAUACCCCGCUGUUCUGACGGUACCCAAAGAAUAAGCACCGGCUAACUUCGUG
rnacentral:rRNA from 1 species